CCUACGGGCGGCAGCAGUGGGGGAUAUUGCACAAUGGGGGGAACCCUGAUGCAGCGACGCCGCGUGGGUGAAGAAGCGCCUCGGCGCGUAAAGCCCUGUCAGCAGGGAAGAAAAUGACGGUACCUGAAGAAGAAGCCCCGGCUAACUACGUGCCAGCAGCCGCGGUAAUACGUAGGGGGCAAGCGUUAUCCGGAUUUACUGGGUGUUAAGGGGGCGCAGACGGCGAUGCAAGCCAGGAGGGAAAGCCCAGGGCCCACACCCGGGACUGCUCUUGGAACUGCGUGGCUGGAGUGCAGGAGGGGUAGGCGGAAGUCCUGGUGUAGCGGUGAAAUGCGUAGAUAUCAGGAGGAACACCGGUGGCGAAGGCGGCCUGCUGGACUGCAACUGACGUUGAGGCCCGAAAGCGUGGGGAGCAAACAGGAUUAGAUACCCCAGUAGUC
rnacentral:rRNA from 1 species